rnacentral:misc_RNA from 1 species
CGCGGCUGGAUCCCCUCCUUUCUAAGGAAAGAUUUAUUGCAGUACUCUACGCACCUUUUUAGUUUUUAAAUAGCUUGCAAGCCUGUCAGCUGGAUAGCUUUCAGGCUUGAAUGUUCUUUGACAACAGAAGGAAAGAAGUAAGGGUCAAGAUAGUAAGGGCGUACGGUGGAUGCCUUGGCAUCAGGGAGCGAAGAAGGACGCAGCGGGCUGCGAAAAGCCACGGGGAUUUGCGAGCGAGAGUUGAUCCGUGGAUAUCCGAAUGGGGAAACCCGG